UACGUAGGGUCCGAGCGUUGUCCGGAAUUACUGGGCGUAAAGAGCUCGUAGGCGGUUUGUCGCGUCUGCCGUGAAAGUCCGGGGCUCAACUCCGGAUCUGCGGUGGGUACGGGCAGACUAGAGUGAUGUAGGGGAGACUGGAAUUCCUGGUGUAGCGGUGAAAUGCGCAGAUAUCAGGAGGAACACCGGUGGCGAAGGCGGGUCUCUGGGCCGAUAUUGACGCUGAGGAGCGAAAGCGUGGGGAGCGAACAGG
rnacentral:rRNA from 1 species